rnacentral:rRNA from 1 species
UACGGGGGGGGCAAGCGUUGUUCGGAAUUACUGGGCGUAAAGGGCUCGUAGGCGGCCAACUAAGUCAGACGUGAAAUCCCUCGGCUUAACCGGGGAACUGCAUCUGAUACUGGAUGGCUCGAGUUUGGGAGAGGGAUGCGGAAUUCCAGGUGUAGCGGUGAAAUGCGUAGAUAUCUGGAGGAACACCGGUGGCGAAGGCGGCGAUCCUGGACCAACACUGACGCUGAGGAGCGAAAGCCAGGGGAGCAAACGGG